rfam:Cylindrobasidium torrendii FP15055 ss-10 unplaced genomic scaffold CYLTOscaffold_140, whole genome shotgun sequence.
GACCCCUUAGCUCAGUGGUAGAGCGUGUGAUUCCAGUGCUGGAACCUCCACAAGGUCGUCCGUUCAAUCCGGGCAGGGGUCA